AAACUUACCUGUCAGGGGAGGAGUGAGAAUCUCAAAGUGGCUUUCCAGGGUGAGGUUCAUUUAGUGGAGUCUGGAUAUGCUGCCCUCUAUAGUUUUCAGUAAUGAGGAAAGGUUUUCAGCAUAAUUACUGAUAGUGCGAGAUAGUGCUCACACUGUCCUUUU
ensembl:snRNA U1 U1 spliceosomal RNA